AUGGGGAACGGUUUAGGGCUUUUUAGCUAAACAACUCUCGACUCCGGGAGUUCAAUUUUAACUGUGCACAAACGAAGACAACGACAAACCGAACCUCUAACGCAGUAUUCAAGGGAAUAACAACCGGUGGCAACCUGUGUUCACGUCAGGAAGUACUUCCCAGACACAGACUGAUUAAAACCUCCUCCCCCCCCCCCACCAGUGGUAUGUCUUGUGUGACUGAACGGUAAAAGCUUCAAUUCAUUAGUAUAUGUACCUUAGGAGUAACAUCUGCUUCUAACACAUAGACCCUAGUAUCACACAAGGAAUGUAGGACCACCUGGCAGGUAAAUCGCCCCACAGAGUCUGCCUGGAACCGUAAUGGGAUGUCCACACAGCCACAAUCUAUUGAACACAAGGACGAUGCAGGGAGGAGAGCAGGUGGACAAAUUAAGGAAAGUGUGGACAGUGACAUCGGUUAAAUACCAACAGUACAUUAUCAAACCUUUUGUGGAACUCAGGAAUAUUUCCUAUGUUUCCUCAAGACCAACAAGACCAACAAAAAAACGGGCUUAAAAUAUUUUCUUUACUAUAUCUCCAGCUGUAAAAUAAAAAUCUUCAAUCUAAAGCCUGUUUUACUUAAUGUUGCACUGCGAAACAACAAAUUAGUACUUUGUGGAACUUUGUUGUCGGUGAAUGGGAACCCCUACAUGUCAGUGGCUGAUUAACAUUUUGU